UAUGUGAUCGUCUCUCGCAUAUCAAUAAGCGGAGGAAAAGAAACUAACAAGGAUUCCCCUAGUAACGGCGAGUGAAGCGGGAAGAGCUCAAAUUUGAAAUCUUAAAGGGUUUCCCUUUACGAAUUGUAGUUUAAAGAAGUGUUUUCUGUUGAGGUUUUGGUAAAAGUUCUUUGGAAUAGGACAUCAUAGAGGGUGAGAAUCCCGUAUUUGACCUUUACUUUCAACUUUGUGAUACACUUUCAAAGAGUCGGAUUGUUUGGGAAUGCAGUCCAAAAUGGGUGGUAAAUUUCAUCUAAAGCUAAAUAUUGGCGAGAGACCGAUAGCGAACAAGUACCGUGAGGGAAAGAUGAAAAGAACUUUGAAAAGAGAGUUAAACAGUACGUGAAAUUGUCAAAAGGGAAGCGUUUGACACCAGUGUUGUUUUUCUGAAAAUCAAUUAAAGAACUGUUUAUGCUAAUGUUGUUUAGACUUUAUCAGCUAACUGUUUAGUUUUGAGCUUUUCUUUAAUGCACUUUUCAGUUAACAAGUCAACAUCAAUUUCUUUUGCUGUAAAAAAGCUUGAGGAAGGUGGCUUGAGAUUCGUCUUAAGUGUUUAUAGCCUCUUGCCUAUGCAGUCGGAGAGAUUGAGGUCUGCAGCGUAGAUCCUUCGGGGUUAAAUGCAUUUGUGCUAAGUUAUAACAUUUUAUAGACAACUUGUUGACUAUGAUUUGUCUUGUAGCUUACUCGCUUAUGUUAUUUUACCUACGCUUAGGAUGUUGAGUAGCGACAUACGCAC
rnacentral:rRNA from 1 species